rnacentral:rRNA from 1 species
GAUUAGAUACCCUGGUAGUCCACGCCGUAAACGGUGGGAACUAGGUGUGGGGGGCUUCCACGUCCUCCGUGCCGUAGCUAACGCAUUAAGUUCCCCGCCUGGGGAGUACGGCCGCAAGGCUAAAACUCAAAGGAAUUGACGGGGGCCCGCACAAGCGGCGGAGCAUGUGGAUUAAUUCGAUGCAACGCGAAGAACCUUACCUGGGUUUGACAUGCACUGGAAACCAGUAGAGAUAUUGGCCCCCUUGUGGCCGGUGUACAGGUGGUGCAUGGCCGUCGUCAGCUCGUGUCGUGAGAUGUUGGGUUAAGUCCCGCAACGAGCGCAACCCUCGUUCCAUGUUGCCAGCGCGUAAUGGCGGGGACUCAUGGGAGACUGCCGGGGUCAACUCGGAGGAAGGUGGGGAUGACGUCAAGUCAUCAUGCCCCUUAUGUCCAGGGCUUCACACAUGCUACAAUGGCCGGUACAAAGGGCUGCUAAGCCGCGAGGUGGAGCGAAUCCCAUAAAGCCGGUCUCAGUUCGGAUCGGGGUCUGCAACUCGACCCCGUGAAGUCGGAGUCGCUAGU